GGCUGGUAAUUGUGACAUGGAACAUCCCCUGUCUGGUGAGAAAGGCACCACAUCUACUGGCUGAGGCUGAGAGAUCCUGGCUGGAUAAAGUUCACUUUAACACACAGCUUGAGCUCUUGAACCAGUCUCUAGGAAAGGGCUGGACUCUGUUCCAAUCUGGAGUUGCCCUUUGUGAGAGGCGGCAGGCAACAGAUGACAGCUUUCCAGCUUUCCCAGCUUUCUUGAAUUUACUGGGUGAGGUGAGGUGAUCUUUUUACAAGAAGACUUAAACUCUCACGUGAGCAAUUAAGAAAACCUGGAGGGGUGUGAUUAAAAGAAACAGACUCCCUGAUCUAAACCUGAGCAGUGUGCUGUUAUUGGACUUCUGUGCAAUAUAUAAAAAUAGCUGAAACCACACUUUUUCUAUGACAGAUUUCAUGCUCAAACAUAAGAGUGUCCACAAGUGCAUGUGGAACGAGUACAACCUAGGCUGCAAGUCGACCUGAAUUUACAAAGCACUGGAAUACAAGGUCAAACUCCACCCCUCCUUUGAAAAUCCUGUGGCAAGAAGGGACUCCUAUUGUGUGCAUAAUAUUUUUAAAGCUGAAAAUAUUUCCUGUCAAGGUUCUUUUUGGACAAGCCAAAGCAAAGAUGUGGAGCCUUCAAAACCUGCUUUUCAUCCUCUGCAUUUCUCUGAGAUGUGUGACCAGUGCAGUAGGGGUGCUCAAUGUCACUGGAUAUCUGAGAAGAGAGGUUAACAUUUCCUGCCCUUACGAUCCGGGUUAUGAAUCUAAUGAGAAGUACCUCUGUAAGGACAGUUGUGGCAGGGCUGAUGUUCUUAUUACAACAACAAACCCAGUGAAAUAUAAAUACAUGAUCCAUGAUGACAAAACAGCACGAAUCUUUACAACAACCAUCUCUGAUCUUCGUUCUGUGGAUGCUGGGAAAUACUGGUGUGGGGUGACCAGAACUGGAAACGAAACAUAGGCCUUCUUGUAAUCAAUCCAGGCAGUGCACAGGUUGGUAAGCCUGGUCUUGCAGUCUCGGCUGACUGUUCUGUCUACCAGUAGCUGGUGUUUU